rnacentral:tRNA from 1 species
GGGCCUGUAGCUCAAGGGUAGAGCAGUCGACUCAUAAUCGGUUGGUUGCGGGUUCGAACCCCGCCGGGCCUACCA